CACACAUUGGACGCGACACUCACGUUAGGGUGGUAAAACAAUAAAAGUGGCUAAGACUCUGAGAAAGCUCGGAAAAAGAACCAUCGGCGAAAUCUCCCGGGAUGACCUGGACCUGUGUGAGCGCAGUUGGAGGAACCGCUCGGGAAGAGAAACGCAUUGGUCAGGUUUUCUGAUAGACCCAUUGAAAGUUGGACCUACCUGGAUAUUGGAGCCAGUCGAAGUUUGAUGGCGAGCCAGACCCCAGAGGAUACGUAGAGAUACGACGCCGCGGAACCUGAAUCCUUUUACACUUUUAUACAUACACACACACCACCCACACAACAGUGUGGUGGGAGUGAUUUUCCACCUUUAUGGUGUUGACUGAAAAAAGGUGAACUGAACUUUAGAAAAAACAAGCAGGUGCAAAACUUUAUUUUAUUUUUUUAUUUUCUGUACUUACCCGGGUAAGAGUUGUGAUAUUCUGUGCAAUUACUGUGUUUUAUCAGUCCUUCCCAUCCUGUAAUAAAUAGGGAAGCGUCAUUGUUUCUUAAAGAUAGUCCUGUGUUUGACUUGUUCCUGUGUCAUCGUUUGACCAAUCCUGGGCUCCAUAGUCGAUCUUAGAACUUCUGCUUCACUUGCCAUUGAAUCUAGACACUACCCCAUUUUCCAUUCCCUUUCCUUCUAAAAGGGUUACACAUAUGUUUUUGUUUUUAUGUCUUUAUUAACACAACCAACUACUGUUAUUUCUAUUGAUAAAAAAAUAAUAUAUUUGUGAGAGACUUUUUGAAUAUUAUGGACUUUUUUUUUUUUUUUUUAGUUUUUUACAAAAAAUACAAUUGCCGGGGAUCAGACUCAAAAGAAAUCAUCUUGUCCUCACAAAUGUUGCCCUCUUUCAAAUACUUUUCCAUUUUUCUGACAGACAAUCUGACAAACCUUUGCCUCAACUGUGGGGAGGAAAAUGCAGAUGACAGUGAAGAGGCAGAGCUGACAUGGAUAUCCUGUGAUGCCUGUGGACGGUGGUUCCACCAUGCAUGUGUUGGAAGGCCAAAGAUCGAGGACAAAUUUGUGUGUGCAGCAUGCUGAGGCAAAGGAACUUACUUCUUAGGAAGUUCAUGUAUCAAUAAGAAAUGUUCUAUUUACAGUUUAUUUUUCCUUGAUUUUGAAUGUUUCAUUUUUUAAAUUAUUUUAAUGUUUUU